CCCGCUGAACUUAAGCAUAUCAAUAAGCGGAGGAAAAGAAACUAACAAGGAUUCCCCUAGUAACGGCGAGUGAAGCGGGAACAGCUCAAAUUUUAAAUCGAACUUUGUUCGAGUUGUAAUUUGAAGAGGCGUUUUCAUGUCGUUCGUCAGGUCUAAGUUCCUUGGAAUAGGACAUCAGAGAGGGUGAGAAUCCCGUCUGUGAUCUGGUCGAUGGCUGUACGUUACGUCUUCUAAGAGUCGAGUUGUUUGGGAUUGCAGCUCAAAAUGGGUGGUAAAUUCCAUCUAAGGCUAAAUAUUGGCGAGAGACCGAUAGCGAACAAGUACCGUGAGGGAAAGAUGAAAAGAACUUUGAAAAGAGAGUUAAAUAGUAUGUGAAAUUGUUGAAAGGGAAACGAUUGAAGCCAGUCAUGCCGGUGGGAAAUCAGCUCAUAGGCUACUUUGAGUGCACUUUCUCGCAAGGCAGGUUAACAUCGGUUUCAGUUGCGUUAUAAUGAUGGUGGGAAGGUAGCUCCUUCGGGAGUGUUAUAGCCCGCUAUAGAUGGCGUGACAGAGAUCGAGGAUUGCAGCGAAUGCCAUUAGGCUACGGGUCUGGUCUCUGUAAAGGCGUCAUCUCGUACGUCAGCACGCUGACGUCGAGUUGGCACUCGACAAUAGGUUCAGAACUCGAUAAAUUCGCUAAGGAUGUUGACGUAAUGGCUUUAAACGACCCGUCUUGAAACACGG
rnacentral:rRNA from 1 species